rnacentral:rRNA from 1 species
CAGUCGCCGCGGGAAUACGAAGGGUGCAAGCGUUACUCGGAAUUACUGGGCGUAAAGCGUGCGUAGGUGGUGGUUUAAGUCCGUUGUGAAAGCCCUGGGCUCAACCUGGGAAUUGCAGUGGAUACUGGGUCACUAGAGUGUGGUAGAGGAUAGUGGAAUUUCCGGUGUAGCAGUGAAAUGCGUAGAGAUUGGAAGGAACAUCUGUGGCGAAGGCGACUAUCUGGGCCAACACUGACACUGAGGCACGAAAGCGUGGGGAGCAAACAGGAUUAGAUACCCCGGUAGUCCCUGUCUCUUAUAC